UCGGUUCCCUCAAACAUGAAUUUAGAAUUGGGAAACCUUUUAAUCCAUUUGAUCAACUCAUGUCUGUGCUUCCAUCAAAGAGUUCUAAUGCACUGCCAGAAGCUUAUCGGAAUCUUAUGACCAGUAAGGAUUCACCGAUCAUUAAGUUCUACCCACAAGAUUUUGUAGUGGACACCAGUGGAAAGAGGUUUUCUUGGCAGGUUUAUAAACAUAAACUUCUAUCAAUUUUUAACCAUUUCGUAGCAAUUGGAGAUUAAGACAUAAGUAUUCUUAUUGGUAAAAUUUAUAUUUGUUCUUUCCCUCUUAUUUAUAUCAAGUAUUUAUGAUCACAAUUUUUUAGCAUCCAAUAUUACAACAAUGUCAUUAACGAGCUUGUGUCCAAAGGUGACAGUCCCUUCUCUGUCAUCAAAUCCCUGAUUAUCCAUCAAUCUGAUGCUAAAAAAUUUCCUAUCCACAUAUCCAUGCAUAGAGCCUUACAUGACAAUCUUCCACUGGGAUUUUCCUCAAAGCCUAGAAGACCAGUAUGGUGGCUUUCUUAGCCCUCUCGUUGUCGAUGACUUUAGAGAUUAUGUUGAUCUUUGCUUAAAGUCAUUUGGAGACCGAGUGAAGAAUUGGAUCACAUUGAACGAGCCAUGGACAAAUUGUCAUCAAGGUUAUGCUGCAGGGAUAUUUGCACUUGGUCGUUGCUCUCCGUGGGAGGCUGGAAAUUGCAGUGCUGGUGACUCCGGUUGAGAGCCUUAAUAUUGUUGCUCAUCACCAGAUUCUAGUCCAUGCUUCUGCUGUUAAGCUAUAUAGAGAUACUUUUUGUUUUAAUGAAAGAGGAAUUUUUGUCAUGUACUUUGGACAAAAGAAAAAACUUGUACUAAAGUCAUUGUAAUGAACCAAUGAAUUGUUCCUUAUGUUUGGUUGUUAAUUUGCUUGCAAAAUUUGGAGUUUCAUUU